CUGGCUUAGAGCUGAAAUAGCUCACAGACUGAGAUCCAAAAGCACAGAGCAGAAAUGAAAGGGGUGGGGAGAUAGGGGCUGAGGGACCAGGAAACGUGUGUCAGUACUUGCAGAUUGACUGGGCAAAGGGAAGCAUCUGCCUGAUGGCAUUUGGGUUUCCAUGUCUGAGAGAGCACGUGUAAGAUAGUACCAAUCCAAAGGCAUGGACAUCCAUGGGAGCAGCAAACUGCGAACACACUCAAUCACAAGUUGUUGGAUACAGCACAUCCUCAUCCCUAGAGCAGAUGAGAGAUUAGUGUGUUUGUUAACCUCAGUAUCUUUCCUGUUGAAUGAAAUGGGUGGAAAUCAGUCCCAUUGUUGCCAUCUUCACAUCUGCUCAGUCCGGGUCUAGAAGCAAAACAAGCAAGCCGUAGUGUGAAGUUCCCAGUACCUGUGCCCGUCCUGGGAAUAAAAGGUAUUGGCAGACCA
rnacentral:lncRNA from 1 species